rnacentral:rRNA from 1 species
ACGCAAUAGAUACCCUGGUAGUCCUGGCCCUAAACGAUGGAUACUUGGUGUCUGGAGUUAUUAUCGCUCCGGGUGCCGUCGCUAACGUUUUUAGUAUCCCGCCUGGGGAGUACGCUCGCAAGAGAGAAACUCAAAGGAAUUGACGGGGACCCGCACAAGCGGUGGAGCAUGUGGUUUAAUUCGACGCAACGCGAAGAACCUUACCUAGGCUAGAAUGUGAGGGAAUUUCGGGUAAUGCCGAAAGUCCGGGAAACCGGACCCAAAACAAGGUGCUGCAUGGCUGUCGUCAGCUCGUGUCGUGAGAUGUUGGGUUAAGUCCCGCAACGAGCGCAACCCUUAACUUCAGUUGCCAUCAUUAAGUUGGGAACUCUGGAGUGACUGCCGUUGAUAAAACGGAGGAAGGUGGGGAUGAUGUCAAGUCAUCAUGGCCUUUAUGCUUAGGGCUACACACGUGCUACAAUGGUCGGUACAAAACGUCGCAAUCUCGUAAGAGGAGCUAAUCGCUAAAACCGAUCUCAGUUCGGAUUGAAGUCUGCAACUCGACUUC